rnacentral:rRNA from 1 species
CCAUGCCGCGUGCAGGAUGACGGUCCUAUGGAUUGUAAACUGCUUUUGUACGGGAAGAAACACUCCGACGUGUCGGAGCUUGACGGUACCGUAAGAAUAAGGAUCGGCUAACUCCGUGCCAGCAGCCGCGGUAAUACGGAGGAUCCAAGCGUUAUCCGGAAUCAUUGGGUUUAAAGGGUCCGUACGCGGUCUGGUAAGUCAGUGGUGAAAGCCCAUCGCUCAACGGUGGAACGGCCAUUGAUACUGCUGGACUUGAAUUACUGGGAAGCAACUAGAAUAUGUAGUGUAGCGGUGAAAUGCUUAGAGAUUACAUGGAAUACCAAUUGCGAAGGCAGGUUGCUACCAGUGGAUUGACGCUGAUGGACGAAAGCGUGGGUAGCGAACAGGAUUAGAUACCCUGGUAGUCCACGCCGUAGACGAUGGAUACUACCUGUUGGGAGCAAUCUCAGUGGCUAAGCGAAAGUGAUAAGUAUCCCACCUGGGGAGUACGUUCGCAAGAAUGAAACUCAGAGGAAUUGACGGGGGCCCGCACAAGCGGUGGAGCAUGUGGUUUAAUUCGAUGAUACGCGAGGAACCUUACCAAGGCUUAAAUGCAGACUGACCGAUUUGGAAACAGAUCUGUCGC